rnacentral:rRNA from 1 species
UUUGACCUCAAAUCAGGUAGGAGUACCCGCUGAACUUAAGCAUAUCAAUAAGCGGAGGAA